UACGGAGGGGGCGAGCGUUGUUCGGAAUUACUGGGCGUAAAGGGCGCGCAGGCGGCUGCUCAAGUCAGGCGUGAAAGGCCUGGGCUCAACCCGGGAAUUGCGCUUGAGACUGGGCUGGCUUGAGUGCGGGAGAGGUGAGUGGAACUGCGAGUGUAGAGGUGAAAUUCGUAGAUAUUCGCAAGAACACCAGUGGCGAAGGCGGCUCACUGGCCCGGUACUGACGCUGAGGUGCGAAAGCGUGGGGAGCAAACAGG
rnacentral:rRNA from 1 species